rnacentral:rRNA from 1 species
UACGAAGGGGGCUAGCGUUGCUCGGAAUCACUGGGCGUAAAGCGCACGUAGGCGGCUUACUAAGUCAGGGGUGAAAUCCUGGAGCUCAACUCCAGAACUGCCUUUGAUACUGGUGAGCUUGAGUCCGGAAGAGGUGAGUGGAACUGCGAGUGUAGAGGUGAAAUUCGUAGAUAUCAGGAGGAACACCGGUGGCGAAGGCGGCCAUCUGGACGGUGACUGACGCUGAGGCGCGAAAGCGUGGGGAGCAAACAGG